rnacentral:misc_RNA from 1 species
GUGACGUCGUUCGGCACAAUCUAGCCCAACGGCGUCGCUCUUGCUUUGCACGGACAAACGAAACUUCGUCCCGUCCUCUCUCCAUUGCAUAUUGUCAUCUCGGUCCUGAAACCAGAUCUCUUUCUGUGCCUGUGCAUCUGUGAGCAAUGGAUUUUCAUAUACGCAGCGUUUUCGGUCUGCUUAUCGUCUCUUCUAUUCUCUGCUCGCUAGCUAGGGCUGAAACCAGUGGUUCAGUUUUCUUCAUCGAUGGCCAAAAUCGCCAAUAUGUUCGUACUCCAUCAGCAAACGAUGUCGUUCAGUCUCACUUAAUGUCGCCGCUGGAACUGGGUGCUGCUGUGUCUGUAUUGCUUGGUUUUGCACCACCUGCUACACUUUCAGCUGCUGGUUCAUCUAAGUU